rnacentral:lncRNA from 1 species
CGCACUUCAUUAUAUAAAAUUUUAAAAAAAUUCUACAACUUGGUAUAGUUUGAAGAACUUGAGUGUAAUUUACAUUCAAACUUCCCAUUACAGUAUUCUCUUUCCCAUUAGUAGUGUCAAAGCGUACCAUACAAACAGGUACAAGGUAGAUGCAGCAAGACUAGCACAUUGUUUAAGACCUAACCUUAGCAAGUCGAGCCCUUAUUUCUUCCAUUUCUUCCUCAUCAUCAACACCCUCAGCUAUAGCCUCUUCCUACACGUGAUAAUAAAUUUCAUAAUUAAGGUAAACUCUAACGUUGUGUGGAGUGUGGACGACUUGAUUCAAGGUCUGACUGAAUAUUGCAUGUGAUAUAUUUUGAUUCCAUAACUCAAUGGUUAGAGCACUUGUUUAGUAAGUGGGAGGUCUUGAGUUCAACUCUCAAUGAAAGCAUAUUUUUUUAUGGCCCCGACCCUACCUAGUAGGAGUGUAGGACUAAGGCUUGGUCGCAGUGUAAACUCCUCUUAGGCAAGAAAGAACUUAUUCAUGGAAAAUAAAUUAAUUGCACAUACCUCGUCUGCAGCUCCAGCCCUUUGAGCAGGUUGCUUCACCUUUUCUUUCCUGACAGCUUCAGGAAGCUGUGCGGCUGUCUCGCCAGCUAUUGCAGUUAAGACUUUAUCAACUUCUUCUUCUAUCUCAUCUUCUAUGUCCUCAGAAUCAAGUGCUGAGUCAACAGCAUCAUUUACCAUCUCCUCAAUAACUCCUGCCUGAAAGAGACAUAAUUCCCGAUAACUACAGUGCAACUGUCUUCUCUAACCAUAACGAGGGGAGAGGAGGAAAAAAGUGGUUUCUUAAUACAGCAUUGAAAAUAUUGCAUGAUUACCUUUGUCAUUUCUUUGCUGAACUCUUGCAUUGUCACAGCCAUUUGAGGAGCCUUCAUGAGGUUAUUGACAAGCUUCAUAACCUCGGCGCUCUUGGAUAGAUGUCCCACUGUGCGAGCAAUUGCUGCAAAGCCAUCAAACUCAUGAGUUUCCAAAGAACAACAUUUAAAUAACUUUAAUAUGUCAUCAUGGCCAAUUGAAAAAGAAUCCACAGUUAAAACAAUAAAUGGUUAAUCAAACUAUUACACUUAAUUAGUCAAUAGAAGCAGUUAUUUCCAGGGAAAAGUCCAGAAACACCCUUGAACUUUGCAUGAUGUGCAAUUUGAAAGCUGAAUUUCAAAAAAUUUGUAAAAAGGACACCAAUCUCUGCUUUGGGUGCAAAAUGGACCUUCGUCAUCUAAGGCAUUAAAAAUUGGAUGAAAACACCACAUGCAAAGGAUAUCUGGAGUUAGUUUUAAACAUCUUUGAAGUCCAGGGGCUAAAUCAAACAUCAUUUAAUGUUCAAGGAUGUUUUUGAAUAGCAAAGGACUAUUUUUCACCUGAACCACCAAAGUUCAUGAUCCUUUUUACACAAUUUUUAAAAUUAAGGGACUAAUCACAAAUCAUGCAAAAAUUUGACUUUUCACUUAUCUUCAUUCUGUUCCCAGUUUUCAAAGUUUUUUGAAGGAAAUGGUUAAAACAAGAAAAGUCGUUUUAAUCAUUUCUGUGACAACUAUGAUAACAAGAGAAUAAAAUUGAAACAAUAUGGCACUUGUGUAACUAUUGUUGAAAACAUGCCUACUGGAAAUGAAAACAAAAAACAAACGAAAUAGUCCCCUUACAUUAAAUGGUUUGCCAACCUAUAAUUAUUGCAUCCGAUCAAAUACAAAAUCCUGAACAAAAGAGAGUUGACUGAACAAGACAAAGCUUGACUCAACCCUUAAAUAGUGGAAAGGGGAUGACCAUCAACACAAUGUUAAGGUUGUUUGUCUUAUCACCUGGAGGUCAUAGGUUCAAACAAGUUGUUAAAACAUAUAGUCAGCCUUGGAGCGGAAGGGGGUAUAGUAUCAUGGCGGCAGUGGAGCGUAACAUUAAGCAUAGCUCCAACUAAAAUACAAAAUUAUAUUUAAAAUACAUAUAUGUGCAUACACAAUAACUAAAAUACAGAAUUCCAGGAGUAUUCUUCCAGCCCAGAUCCGUCCUAUUUCCUGGGGUAGUUCAACACCUUACCCCUCCACCAGAUUCACUAGCAUUCGACAUAUUUUGAUAAGGAAAAGAGAGAAAACAGAGGGUGGAUAUAGAGAAGAGAAAGUCCAGGCUAAGGGAAGUGGUUGCAGGGUUUUGGUUCAGAAACAAGAAGAAGCCUACGAAAGAGAUUAGAAGGUUGCAAGGGUUAUGGAAGAGAGUGGUUCAUAAUAUGGAGAGAAUUGAGGGUGGGGUGGAAGAGUGAAAAAAACUGAAGGGAACAGUAGUAAUAUAAGUUAAAUAUAAUGAGUUAAAAAAAUAGGGUAAAAAUUGGGACUAGAGGUUGAGCCAAGAAAAGAAACCUGCUCACCUGAGAACACAGUGUGUGACCCGAAAACACAGCCGUCUUCCCCGAAGCAAAAACGUUUGACAAUCCGAAGCAUUGUUUUGUCCCACACUGCUCUGGAACGUGAUUUUGCCCACGCCAACUCGUUAUUCACCACGAAAAGCACUGAAUCGUUCAAUUCAAUGCUUCAAUGCGCAGUUUUGAGAAGUCCAAAUCCUGGAAACGGCCUCUUCGCUUCUAAGGGUAUGGCUGUAUACAUCUACCUCCCCAGACCUCACUAGGUGAGAGCCUCAUGCACUUGAAUACCCAUUUUUUAUUAUAUAGUAAAACUCAUGAAUUUAUUUUUAGGGAUUUAUUCAGUUUUCAUGAAAUAAGAAGAACUUCUACCUUUUCUCCACGAUAAUAAACAAUAUCCUUAUUUCAGUCUCACAACCUAUCUCAUUCUUAACCAAACAUCUAUCUUCUUCGUCUCUCGUUCUUAUUUCUCUCACAUUGUUUUUAUUUAAGAACAAAAUUCAUAAAAUAAGAAUACUACAGUAGAAACAAAAUAAGAAUAUUCUUAUUUUAUUAAAAACAAUCUUAAAAACAACUAUUAUAGUUGCUCUAACUCAUAAUCACUAAGGAGCAUUAUUUAAUAACUAUAUACUCUAAAUUUAAAAACUAAUAUCAUACUUAAUUAAACAACUACCAAGGAAUGUUUCACUACAAAUGUCACAAAUAAGUUAAAAAUAUCAUCAAAUCAAAUAAUAUAGAUUUUAUACUUUAAUUGUAACAAAAUCACACAAGUAAGGUUUUACUAUAUAAACUAAACUAACAAAUAGCAAAUAUCACUAUAAAUAAGUUAAAACUUUUAAUUUUUUUAAUCUUAAAUCAAAGUCUUUUUGUUGUUAUACAAAAAUUGUUUUUUAAUAAAAUUGGUUGGUCUCACCAUACGAGGCACUGAUUUGAGAAACUCAAAUCAAUCAUAUGUUAAAUUCAUAUUGAACUAAUCGGUCUUAGCCAGUUCUUAUAAUACUGCGUUUUGACUGUCUUGGAAAGGCACAUUGUUUACUAGAAUAACUAACUCCCAUUUCAUUAAAAUAGUUGUAAUAAAAGUUAUUAUUUUUAAAUUAUUAUUUUUUAUUUUAAUGAUAUUUAAUAGAUACGCUUGCUUACAAUUCUUUGUCACGCUAAUCACCAAUGGGCCAAAGAAAAAAAAUUAAAAGGGGAAGGAUGAGACAUAGGUCAUUCCACACAUUUCUUGUAAUUGGGAUUCUUUUUGUAAUUUGCAAUUAGGCUUAAAAUUCCAUUAUUAAAACGAAACGAAGUGGUAAAAGUGUAAAACCAAUGUUUAGAAAUCGCACAGCUCAAUUCAACAAGAAAAAUCAGUGAACCGAGUCUGGAACCGGUUCAACAGACUAAAAGCCGCCCAGUUAAAAACUGGUAUUGAAUCGAUUAAGAUCUGGAUGGAAUACAAGAGUACAUCGAAACCUUGCUAAUAAAUGAUGAAAUUAACUAACUUUUACCAGGACCAGAAUUUAAACACACUUGCAGCACCAUUUCACAUGAAAACAUUGUUCCAAAUCCGAACACAAUAUCGUGGAUUUUUAUACAACAAAUCCCUGACCAUGGAUAAAAUUAGCUCCGCACUUCAUUAUAUAAAAUUUUAAAAAAAUUCUACAACUUGGUAUAGUUUGAAGAACUUGAGUGUAAUUUACAUUCAAACUUCCCAUUACAGUAUUCUCUUUCCCAUUAGUAGUGUCAAAGCGUACCAUACAAACAGGUACAAGGUAGAUGCAGCAAGACUAGCACAUUGUUUAAGACCUAACCUUAGCAAGUCGAGCCCUUAUUUCUUCCAUUUCUUCCUCAUCAUCAACACCCUCAGCUAU